GACGAACGCUGGCGGCGUGCUUAACACAUGCAAGUCGAACGGUGAGGCCCUUCGGGGUACACGAGUGGCGAACGGGUGAGUAACACGUGGGUGAUCUGCCCUGCACUUCGGGAUAAGCCUGGGAAACUGGGUCUAAUACCGGAUAGGACCCUGGGAUGCAUGUCCUGGGGUGGAAAGCUUUUGCGGUGUGGGAUGGGCCCGCGGCCUAUCAGCUUGUUGGUGGGGUGAUGGCCUACCAAGGCGACGACGGGUAGCCGGCCUGGGAGGGUGACCGGCCACACGGGGACUGAGAUACGGCCCAGACUCCUACGGGAGGCAGCAGUGGGGAAUAUUUCACAAUGGGCGCAAGCCUGAUGCAGCGACGCCGCGUGAGGGAUGACGGCCUUCGGGUUGUAAACCUCUUUCAGCACCGACGAAGCGCAAGUGACGGUAGGUGCAGAAGAAGGACCGGCCAACUACGUGCCAGCCGCCGCCGUAA
rnacentral:rRNA from 1 species